GGUUUACUCACAGGUUACUGCGUUAAAUCUAUGUGUCAGAUUCAGGGCUGGUGCCCAACAGAGAAUGACAGUGUUCAAGUGUAAGUAAUUAAAAUGGUGUAGGAAAUGUAGGUAUUUUAAUGCUCUAGUAUUUACUAAACAUUUGUAUAUAAACAUGGGAAAUGUGUGCCUAUUUAUAAAUUGACAUAUGCAUGUUGUCAACAGUGAGUUUUUAUCCUUUUUUUGUUUCACUUGUCCUGUCAAAACUAUGCUCCCUCAUUUCAAAACAAAAUUAGCCAAUUAACCCCUAAUCCCUCUCCUCGUCAAAUGCCCAGUGUUGCAGAUUGCAGAGUUAUAUAUUUGAAUUUAAAAAAUAAGUCAGUGAACUUCAUUUUAUAUUGAUUCAUUGGUUGUAAUAUUUAUCUCUUUGCUAUCUUAAUUAAAAAUGGAAGUAGGAGUAAUUUUAAGUUGCAAAAAAGGGAUUUACCAAAAAAUGAAAGUAAAAGGUCAGUGGGCAGUUGAUGGCCCACUCACUCCUUCCACCCUUAGAAGAACAAAGCUUUCCCACACAUCGAGUCUGUAACAUCAGUGAGGAAAAAUACACUGCCCUAUCAGCUUGAAUUUGAAUACUUUGUAUCACUGUUAAAUGGUUUAUUAUUAUUAUUAUUAUUAUUAUUGGCAAUUAUAUAGCACCAACCUAUUCUGCAGAACUUUACAAUAUUACAAACUGUUACAGGAAUAAUAGAUGAGGGCCCUGCCCGAACUAACUUACAGUCUAGAGUAGAUCCGGUAUUUAAACACAAUAGGAAGGGCAUCAAGGUGGAGAGCAACUAAGCAAUAAAACUGGGAAAGUAUAAGAUCUGGAAAGUAAGAGUGGAAUGUGGCUCUUUAGAAGAGAGCAAGCAAGAGACAGGUUUGUGAAACAGAAGUUACUCUGGGAGGACAUAAACAUUUCUAAAGAGAUAGAUUUUAAGGGGCAGCAUGACUUCUGGGGAGACCAAUUAAGAGAGAAUAUCUAGUUCAUGCUCUUGUGAGAAAUUACAAGAGCAUGAACAAGCUCCUUAGCAGCAUGUUGUGUAAGAAAGGGGCAGACACUGACAAUGUUUUUAAGGUGAAAUCAGCAGGUUUUAAAGAUAACAUCAAGACCGCAAGCUUGCAAAGCUGGACUGAUGCAGGUACCAUCAACUUGUAAGGAGAGUGAAAGAGGAGCAUUAGUAUUAUGAGGAUGAAAAAUAAGAAGCCCAAUUUUAGAGAGAUUGGAUUUCAGAAUGCAGAAGGACAUUGAAUCAGAGAUGGAAGUAAAAAAAAAAAAAAGGUGACGAGUUCUAGAACAACUGGGGAGAGCUCAGGGAAGGAAAGAUAUAUCUGGGUGUCAUCUAUACAGGAGGCAGUGGAAUCCAAAUGAAUUAAUACAUUUGCCAAGAGAGGCAGAAUAAAGAGAAAACAAAAGGGGGUCAACAACAAGAGUACUUUGGGGUACAUUGCGGUACAGGACAAGGGGAGUCAUAAGAAAAGGAGACACUGAAUGAACAUUGGGAUAGAAAGGAGGUGAACCACGAGAGGACACUGUCACAGAGACUGAUGGAUUCAAUAGUUUGAAGAAGGAGAACAUGAUCAACAGUGUCAAUAGUGUCAAAGGCUGCAGAGAGGUCAAGAACAAUUAGUAUAGAGCCGUGACUAGAUCAUUUGUUACUUUCAUCAGAGUGAUCUCAGUAGAGCACUAGAAAAAGUGCAGAGACGAGCUACAAAAUUGAUAAAAGGAGUGGAGCAUUUUAGUUACGAAGAAAGGUUAAACAAUUUAAAUCUCUUUAGUUUGGAAAAACGGCGCCUCAGAGGGGAUAUUAUAACAUUAUACAAAUAUAUUCAGGGCCAGUACAAACCAUUAUCUGGAAAACUAUUCAUAAACAGGGCAAUACAUAGGACACAAGGUCACACAUUUAGGCUGGAAGAAAGGAGAUUUCAUCUAAGGCAAAGAAAAGUUUUCUUUACAUCUGACUGCUAUUUUGGGGUCAAGAAGGAUUUUUUUCCUAGUUUGUUGCAAAAUUGGAAGCGCUACAGACUAGGUUUCUUGCCUUCUUUUGGAUCAACAGCAAAAACAUAUGUGAGGAAGGCUGAACUUGAUGGACGCAAGUCUCUUUUCAGCUAUAUAACUAUGUAACUAUGUAAGAGUGGAGGGGGGCAAAAGCCACAUUGAAGAGAGUUGAGGUGAGGAGAGAGUUGGAAUUAAGAAAUCAAGUCAAAUAGUUAAAGACAAGUCGUUCCACCCAGUGGCGUACACAUGACCCAUGGGGCCCCGGUGCAAAAAUUGAUUACUCGCUUACUCGGCGCGAGUCGGGCCACAACACAUGGUGGCGGGCACCUGGUUGCAGGGCUGCGACCCCGUGACCGUGGUAUGCACACACACCUAAAGGACCACUACAGACACCCAGAUCACAUCAGCUCAAUGAAGUGGUCAGGGUGCUAGGUCCCUCUAGUUUUAACCAUGCAACUGAAAACAGCCGUUUCAGAGAAACCGCUAUGUUUCACUGAGGGUUAAUCCAGCCUCUGGUGGCUGUCUCAUUGACAGCCGCUAGAGGAGCUUCCGCGAUUCUCACUGUGAAAAUCACAGUGAGAAGACACUGAACGUCCAUAGGAAAGCAUUGAGUAAUUCUUUCCUAUGGGCGGUUUAAAUGCAUGCACCUCUUGCAGCGCAUGUGCAUUCGGAGCUGAGAGGCGGAGGGAUCCCCAGCGCCAAGAGAGUCCGGCGCUGGAAAAGGCAAAUGCUGAAGACACACACUCUCACGAACAGACGCAUACACACUAGCUAACAGGCACACACAUUUACUGACAGAGACACACUCAGCGACAGAUAUACAUACACACUCACUUACAAAACAUACACUUUCACUGACAAACACACACUCACUUACAGACAUCAAACACACUCAGUAACAGACACACAGUAACACACUCACUGACACUCACUAGCAGACACACACCCAAUAACAGACACGCUCACUGACACUCACUAGCAGACACACACACUAACACACACACACACUCACACACAAACACACAAACACACACACAAACACACUAACACACUAACACACCCACAAACACACACACUAACACACACACUAACAAACACACUAACACACACACUAACACACUCACUAACACAAACACACUAACACAAACACUAACACAAACACACUAACUCACUAACGCAAACACACGCACACAAACACACUAACACACACACUAACACAAACACACACACAAACACACUAACACAAACACACACACAAACACAGAAACACACUAACACAUACACUAACACAAACACACUAACACACAUUUUUUUUUAAAUUGAAUCCCCCCAGCCUCCUUACCCUUUGGAGAGCUGAGGGGAUUCCCUGGGGUCCAGUGGUGCUGCUGACACCCGGCAGGCGGGCUGUCUGGGUGGCCGGCGCUCGAGGGAGCACUCUCCCUGUCUGAGUGCUUCCUCUUCAGCUCCCUCGCGCGCCGUGUAGGGAUGCCGGCGCCGGAAGAUGACGUCAUCUUCCGGCUCCGGUAUCAGUGCGGUGCGUGAAAGGGAGCUGAAGAGGAAGCACUCAGCCAGGGAGAGUGCUCCCUCGCGCGCCGGCCACCCAGACAGCCCGCCCACCGGGUGUCAGCAGGGCCAGCCUCGGUUGGGCCCUCGAGUGGCCGGCUUCUGGGCCCCCCAGGAGAAGAGGCUGGCCCAGUGGGUACAUAUCGGGUCGCAGGGGUGGCCGGGCCCCCUGGUGGGGUACGCCACUGGUUCCACCCUAUGUUUAGCAGAGUUGCUCUCACACCAUACCACUUCAUACCAUGGUUUUUAGUAGUGCUAGGCUGAGAGAGUUCAAGUAAUCACUACCCAUUACACCUGGUAUGGUGUGAGGUUAAGCAUAACUCUGCCUUCACCAUAUUGUUAUUUUCAUUGGGUGAUGGGCUAUUCAGCAGUGAGAAAACAAUUGAGCAGUGAUGAUCACAGCAAUACAUCUGUCGAACACAGCCAGGGUCUACAUUGCAGAAACAUUCCAUUAAUGACUACUCUCCUUUUACAUUUUUGCAUCACUUUUUUUGAACAGAACACUCAAUACAUCUCGUGGUUUCUGUUUUUCCUCCUCUUUCUACGCUGAAUGUUAAGUGCAAAGAACGCAGACAAUAAUACGAUAGAUAGGGAGCGGGGCGGACUGGCAACUCACAAGGCCCUCAGGUAAUAAGAGAUCAAGGGAUCCCCUCCUGGUGCAAGAAUUUUUUAAUGCAAAGACCUAGAUGCAUAUUGUAGCCCUUCCCACCCCCACUUCACAUUUCACACACACUUCUCGCCUUGUGCGACUCUCACACAUAUUAUGAGCUUGCUGCAUUGCACCGAGACUUGCUCUAUAACAGCUGCACGGUCAUUCUGGAUCAGAUUUACUUUUAACGAGUUUCUCCAACCAAAACCAGUGAUUUGGCACUUUUAAAAUAAAGCAAAUACAAUGGCCUGUCUGUGGUGAUAUAUGUGGGAUUGUGUGCAGAAGAGACUAUUUCUGGUGUGUGUGUGUGUAAAGGGGUCUAUUUAUAUGUGUGUGUAUAUGUGCGUGUAUGUCAAAAGACUGUAGCGAUUGUGUGUGUGUUUAGGAGCUGUAUAUUGUGUGUGUUGGUAGAGGCUGUGGUAUGUGUGUAAUAUGGUUUUAGAGUGUACCAGGACCCAGGUAAGUUGUCAAACUGUUCUUAAACUAUCUAAUCUGGAAGGCUGCCAAAGAACUCCGGGCACCAUUACCACUACAGUAUGGGCUUGGAGUGUUCCUUUAAAAAGCUGCAUGUGUGUGGAUUAAUAGCAUGUGUGUUGUGUGUGUAGGGGAGAGACCAUUUGUGUUGUUUAGGUUUAGAGUGGUUUUAAAUGUGUGUGUUGAAUCUGUAUGACUGGCUGCGUUUAUGCUGUGCCUGUGUAUAUGUGGAGUGAAAGCAUGCCUGUUGAUUAUUUUUCUUUGGCAAUCUGUCUUUUAUUUAGGCGUGAGCAUAACAACUUGAUAAUGCAUAGGUUAUAUUUGGACAACAUAAGAAAAGUGCAGCAUACGUAAGUGUUAUGUCACUUGACAACAGAAAUGUAAAAUCAAAUGUACAUUGAAAACUUGCCUACUAAGCGUGGUUUUGCAGCAUGUUUCUGUCACCUGUGGUGUGAUCGGGCCUAUGGUUUUUAUUUAUAAAAUUAAUAAAAAUGUACGCAGAGUACAUUGUGCGAGCCUCUGAUGUGGUAAUAGGUAGGAUAGUGGGUACUAAUAGUGUGUCUGGUUCACUUAGGUCAACGAUAUAUGAAGAGUGUAAAUAGAGUGAAGCGGAUUAUGUGUCUACCAAUGGUGGUUAGCCACAAAGUACAUAGAAUAUACAAGCGAGGCUUUAGGCAUGUAUGAGGAGCUACAGAGUUUAGGAACUCCAUAUCCCCGGGGCUCAAAGGGAUUGGGGAUUCCAAAACGAGGCUUGUGAGUGAGUGUAAACCACAUCAGGGGUAUAUACUGGUGUUUCUCGGGAUAGGCUUCCAGGAGUUGGGGGCCCAGUGGUGAGAAAAGGGCCUACAGGAUUAAAACAGCAUGCUAACAGUAACAAAGGAAAGUAAAAUAAAGUAAAACAACGGUCUACAGAAAAUAAACGUGAGAAAAGUAGAUUCUGCGCUAGGAGUCUGUGGCUCCCGAAAUCCUCGUGUUCUCACUAGGAGCCCUGCAGCUGCAGCGCCUGUUCAGCCAGGGGCCGUGGAUCCCAAAAGAGUGAAGGCCUUGACAUUGGCAACAUCCCAUUGAUGCAUAAGCCUGGUUGGGGUAUUUGGGGACAAUGUUAGGCCCAUUGAUUGUAGGAAACUUGGUGCCUCUGACAGCAAAGUUAGCCGGUGAAGGUGGCCAUCCCUUUCAGCUGUAAGCNNNNNNNNNNNNNNNNNNNNNNNNNNNNNNNNNNNNNNNNNNNNNNNNNNNNNNNNNNNNNNNNNNNNNNNNNNNNNNNNNNNNNNNNNNNNNNNNNNNNACUCUCGCGUAGCCCCACUCAUAUUGGAUUUCUGCUAUUUAUUCUUCAUAAUUUUAAUUUCUAGACCUCACGAGUACAGAUUGGUUACAUAUGGGGAUAUGCCAACAUAAUAUUAAUAUAUUAAUAUAAAUAUUGAUGUGACGGUUACACUUUAAAGGAGCACUUCAAACACCUAAAGCACUUCAGUUUGUUAAAGUACUUUAUGAGUGAAGAGUGUGUCCUCUGUUUUAUUUUAUUCUACAAAAAGUACAGAUUGCAAUAGAAAUGGACACUUUUAUAAAUGAACCUUGUUACAUACACCCUCUUAGCUGUCAAUCAGACAACUGGUCUGGUUACUUUCUGGUACGUUAGCUCAGUGGAAAUAAACUCAAGAAGCAGGCAAUUAUAUUGAGCACCUGUCUCACAAAGACUUCUUAAUGAGCUACAAUGGGAAGUCUGGGAUUGGACAGCCACAUAGAGUCUGGGCAGGGGAAGAAGGUGGGAAUAUUUGCAAGGUCUGCAUCUUUUAAAAUGCAUAAUUAAAUACAUGAAUGUUUUCUUUGGAGUAUACCUACUAAAUAAUGUUUUUAAAUUUAUAUUUUGGCAGUAAAGUGUCCCUUUAAAAAUUGUACAAAUAGAAGAUUUUAAAGCGAACCUGUCACCUUUGUAUCUUUUUUAUUAGAUUUUUUAAAAAAAAAUCUAAUUUGCCUUAGGAAAGAUAGCACUCAACCAAUUAUAUCUGGUUCAUCUUCCGUUCCUUGGCAGCAUUACUUGCUAGAAGAUUUUGUUUUCCCAAGCAAAUUACCUUUAAUGAAAAUGAGAAUUUCUUUUACGUGUCCAUAGAAUUUAUGCAGACAUAUAUUGUAUCAAUCAGUGCUAGAAGCAGAUGUGUUUAAAGCACUGCAAGUUGUUUUAAGAACUUCUGCACCAGUGAAGAAACAUUUUAAAAUGCUUUUACAUCUGAAGUGACAUUUUUACCUUUAAAGAGACACUCCAGUGCCAGGAAAACAAUCUGUUUUCCUGGCACUGCAGGUCCCCUCUCCCUCCCACCCCCCCAUCCCAGGUUGCAUAGUUACAUAGCUGAAAAGAGACUUUCGUCCAUCAAGUUCAGAAUUCCUCACAUUUGUUUUUUGCUGUUGAUCCAAAAGAAGGCAAAAAACCCAGUUUUACGCACUUCCAAUUUUGCAACAAGCUAGGAAUAAACAUUCCUUCUUAACCUCAGAAUGGCAGUCAGAUUUAUCCUUGGAUCAAGCAGUUAUUACCCUACAUUGAAAAAUUAUAUCCUUGAAUAUUCUGUUUUUGCACGUAUGCAUCUAGUAGCUGUUUGAACAUCUGUAUGGACUCUGAUAAAAUCACUUCUUCAGGCAGAGAAUUCCACAUCCUUAUUGNNNNNNNNNNNNNNNNNNNNNNNNNNNNNNNNNNNNNNNNNNNNNNNNNNNNNNNNNNNNNNNNNNNNNNNNNNNNNNNNNNNNNNNNNNNNNNNNNNNNUUCUUACAGUAAAAGAACCUUUCCUUUGCCUUAGACGAAAUCUUCUUUCUUCCAGUCUAAAUGCAUGACCUCGUGUCUUAUGUAAAGUCCGGUUUGUGAAUAGAUUUCCACACAAUGGUUUGUAUUGGCCCCGGAUAUAUUUGUAUAAUGUUCUCAUAUCCCCUCUCAGGCAACGUUUUUCUAAACUAAAUAGGUUUAAAUUUGUUAACCUUUCUUCAUAGCUGAUAUGUUCCAUUCCUUUUAUUAAUUUUGUAGCCCGCCUCUGCACUUUUUUUAGUGCCAUAAUAUCCUUCUUUAGAACAGGUGCCCAAAAUUGCACAGCAUAUUCAAUAUGUGGUCUUACCAGUGAUUUAUAAAGAGGCAAACUGAUAUUCUCGUCCCGAGAAUGAAUGCCCUUUUUCAUGCAUGACGAUACCUUACUGGCCUUGGCCACUGCUGAUUGACAUUGCACAUUGUUGCAUAGUUUUUUGUCUAUAACAAUUCCCAAGUCCUUUUCAUGUGUUGUUUUCCCUAAAUUCGCUUCCAUUAAGGGUAUACGUUGCUUGUGUAUUUUUUACUCCGAAGUGCAUAACUUUUCAUUUUUCAACCUUCAAUUUCAUCUGCCAUUUGAGUGCCCAGUCCCCCAGUCUAUCUAAAUCCCUCUGCAGCAAAGUAAUAUCUUGCUCACAUUGUAUUAUUUUACAAAGUUUUGUGUCAUCUGCAAACACUGAAACAUGACUUUCAAUGCUGUCUUCAAGAUCUUUUAUAAAUAUGUUAAACAGAAGGGGUCCCAGAACAGACCCCUGAGGGACACCACUUGCCACCUCUGUCCAGCUUGAAAAUUUACCAUUAAUGUCAACUCUUUGUACUCUGUUUUUAAGCCAAUGUUCUACCCAAGAACAAGCAUUUUCAUCUAGACCGAUUUUCUUGAGUUUGAACACUAAUCUAUUGUGUGGAACUGUAUAAAAUGCCUUGGCAAAAUCCAAAUAGAUCACAUCCACUGCAACACCCUGAUCUAUACUUCUACUUACUUCUUCGUUAGGACUCCAUCAAUCAACUGCUGAAAUGCAACUGAGCUGAUCCAUCAAGUGGCAGUCACUUCUUGUAAAUGCAUUUGCAACUUUCGAUAUACAAAAUACAAAAAGUGCAACGGUGUGCAGGCGCUACCAAAUAAAAGAUACAAACAGGUGUAGUAGAAGUGUAUCCCACAACACUUAAAGGACCACUAUAGUCAACCGGACCAAAUUUAACUUCAGCUAAAUGAAAUGGUCUAGGAGCCAGGUCCCCAGAUUUUAACCCUGCAGUUGUAAACAUUGCAGUUUCAAAGAAUCGAUAUCCUGAAGGAGAGCAGCAAAAAAUGAGAAUAAAAUAUAACACAAAUUUAUUGAGUACUAUAUAGAAAGGGACAAUUGAGCAGUGAUGCACAUAAAUAUAAAAAGGCAUAUAGCCCAAUGAACAGCGCAAAAUAAUUACAAAGAGUCCCAAAGUUCAACAUGUAAUAAGCAUAAGCAAAGCAAACGCAUUUCAAGUCUUCCUCAGUGCUGCAGUGCUCUCCCUGGUUCAAAUAAAUACAGUCUGCAUCAAUUAGCAAAUCGGCACAGCUGUGUAGCUUCCUGUUUCCGGCGAGGCAUGUGUACGUCAUAAUGUCGCGCUUGUCACAUGACGUGGACGGAAACAGGAAGCUACACAGCAGUGCCUAUUUGCUGAUUGCUGCAGACAGUAUUUAUUCAAACCAGGCAUUUGGACCUUUGGUUGUCUAUUUAAGCAACAUAACUGCUAGGAUCCUUGGCCAGUGUUCUCUAUAUUUUGUGACAUUUUGUAUAUCUAUUUUCAUUUAGUUUUCAUCAACAAAUUAAAUGUAUUUAUUUUUUAUUUUUCCCUUAUUUGAUGCAGAGGCCGAUACCUCUCCUUUGCUUUAUUUCAUACUGUGUCCCCUAUAAUCCAUACCUCCCAAAUUUCCUUAUACCUCAAUCCAAGGUUUAACUCUUCUUAAAAAUUAAACUAUUGCACCUCAAUAGUUUAACACCAUUCUAACCCUAAUUUGAAUAAUCUCUUAUAUCACAACUCUAACCCCUCUCAAGAUUUUAAUUCUCUUAACUUCCUAUGUAAACUAGCUCUGAAGUUAACCCAUCUCUAACCUUAUCCCUAACUAUAAGAUAAGGCCAGGGAAUAAUAUUUAAAAAAAAAAUUGGGCAGACUAGAUGGGCCAAAUGGUUCUUAUCUGCCAUCACAUUCUAUGUUUCUAAACUCCCUUCCAUUACCAUAACCACUAACAUUAUUUUAACCUUGCAUGCAUUUAUAUAGCUGCAUACACUCAGUAUAUCACAGAUUCAAAUACAGUACACGCAGAAAUAUACACAUACAUACAAAUUUGAAUGUAUGUUUCAGUUAUGGGCCCCAGUUUGAAGACAAGGACAUUUGAGAAAUUAAUUUUGUGUGAAUACGAUGAAAAAAUAUCCAGGAGCUACAAUAAAUAACCAAUAAUUACAUUUAAAUGAUUAAAAAUGAUUAUCAUAAAAUGUAGGACUAAAAAGGCCCAAUAAAUGGUAAACCCACAAUAUAAAAAAUAAAAAAAGAGAAGGAAAAAUAAAAAAUAAGUCCACAAAUAGUUUAUAGUAAGUCCACAAAAAAUAGAUGGAUUAAUAAAGUAGAAAUCCAGAUAGAAAUGGUCAGUCCAGAAUAUGUAGCAUAGUGGUGAACACACUAGAUAUGUGCAUAUAUCAAACACAGUGGUGUGACCCUUAUGACACUAUAGUAUAAUGUACUUAAAGCAGUAAAUAUAAAUUGUGAAGUGAAAAUAAAAAGCAAAACAGUACUUAAAACUAACUGAAUGCUAAGGAGAGUCUACAAGUGCCUAAGCAAAAAGAUGAAGAGAAAGGUGCUUCCUUUAAAAACUUUAAUGAUUAGAUAAAAUUAGAUAAUCCACAAGCGAUAGAUGUGCAAAAUAAUGACAAAAAUAACUCCAAACAGCGUGCACCACAACCUGGUACAGUGAUUCUGCAGAUGGAUGAGAUAUGUGGGAGCUGUAGUAUGUGCUGUGUGUGGGCCGUCAGUGAGGUCGGCGUGCUUUCCACAGAGCGUUCCACCCGAAGUCUCACUCAAAGGUGCACUCCACUUGUCUCUAGAUCGAUUCCCGGUAUCUCUCCAGAGGAAAACAGCAGCAGGCUAGUGAGAUGAAUGACUGUUCAAUAGUGUGUCUAACGUCCAGUGAGUUGCAUUACGUGUUUUGUACUGCCUCACUUCAUCCAGAGUCUGUGAUGGCUUGAAAGCCAAAGAAGGGGCAUUUGUAUACCCAACAUUGUCUUGAUAUAUGAAAAACACAACAAGCAAUGGUACAGCAAAUAAUGGACUUUUCCUAAAUAGCCACAAAAAGGUUAAAAAUCACCUGUUCAAAAAUGAGGAUAACUUAUACAAGCAAAAUGUACUUUAAAGGAAAAAUAGCCAAAAAGAAGGGGGAAAGGCAUUAUAAGUGUAGGAAAAAAGAAAGGAAAAUGAAAACAAAAUAAAAAUAAUAAUAACAAAUAAAAAAUAAAUAAUAACAUAAAAAUAAUAAAUAAAUAUGUUACAGAGAUUCACUCUAGAGUUGAGUGAACCCGAACUGAAAAGUUUGUACCGAACAUUACGGUUUCUGGACCCCGGACAUUUCAGUGUAUGUUCGGGUUGGAGUUCGCUGUUCGGUGAUUUAAUGGCGCGUAUUGAAAGGCUGCAGGGCAGCCAAUCAAAAAGCGUUUGACUCGUGUGCCCUUAGAAGCCCUUGGCAUGGCUGUGAUUGACCAGUGCAGCAUGUGAGCAAUAGACAUAGUAUACAUAUACGCCGCAUUUACUGCUGAGCGGCGAGAAAUACACAGUUACAGAGAUAUCAACUGCCACACAGGGAUAAUGGGAAUGGUAGUACUCAGUGCAGAUCAGGGAUAAUGGGAAUGGCAGCAUUCAGUCAGUGCAGGGAUAAUUGGAAUGGUAGUACUUAGUGCAGAGCAGGGAUAAUGGGAAUGGUAGUAUUCAGUCAGUGCAGGGAUAAUUGGAAUGGCAGUACUCAGUUAGGGGGCCCUAAAUAACAAUGGGUGGGACCUACUGUCCUCCCUCCCGGCCCCCACUCCUGCAUGGUGGGUGGGGGCCCUAAAUAAGAUUGAGGGGGGAACCUACUGUCCUCCCCACCGGCCCCCACCCCUGCGCAGCGGGUGGGGGCCCUACAUAACAAUGGGGGGGGGACCUACUGUCCUCUCCCCCUGGCCCCACCCCUGCGCGGCGGGUGGGGGCCCUACAUAACAAUGAGGGGGGGGGAACCUACUGUCCUCCCCUCCGGCCCUCACCCCUGAGCGGUGGGUGGGGGCCCUACUGUCCUCCCCUCCGGCCCUCACCCCUGAGCGGUGGGUGGGGGCCCUAAAUAAGAAUGAGGGGGGGGGAAACCUACUGUCCUCCCACCGGCCACCACCCCUGCGCGGCAGGUGGGGGCCCUAAAUAACAAUAAGGGGGACCUACUGUCCUCCCCCCCCCCGGCCACCACCCCUGAGCACUGACAUCCUGACAAUUCUUUGGUACGUUAGUCCGGUCAUUCUAAGGUCCGGUAUAGGUUACCUAUCAGUCCUCUGUGUUACACAAUUCUACGUGCUGGAUCAUACUGUAAUCCUGACAUUACGACAUUCCGCCUAUAGUAUACAAGGCACCAACUAUCUCUCUAUCUCCUCCUCUGCAUUUUAAUGAUAAUUUCCAAGAAUGCAGGGGAUUCCUUAACAAAAUAGAGUAUCAUUUUGAAGCCUCACCGGGAUCUUUUCCCACAGACAGAGCUAAAAUUGGUUACCUGAUGAAUCAAUUAAAAGGUAAAGCUUUAGCUUGGGCCAAUCCAUUAUGUGAGAGUAAUAGAGGUGUGGCACACAAUUACCAGGAGUUUAUUACGGAAUUCAAAUUUACAUUUGAACCUUUAGGCAGAGAGGAUGACACCUCUACUGCCCUGAUGCAUAUCAGACAAGGGAACCGGUCUAUCUCGGAAUAUGCCAUAGAAUUUCGUACCCUAGCUUCCAAGGUAGACUGGACUAACAGUGGGUUAAUCUCUGCAUUUAAAAAGGCACUAUCUGAAACUGUGCUUGAUGAGAUUGCCGCCAAAGACUUACCCAAAAAGCUUAAUGAAUCUAUCACUUUUGUCAUCCAGAUUGAUAAUAGAUUGAGAACCAGAGAAGCUACUAGAAACAAGACCAGAGACAUGAAUAUGCCUUUAGCACCCCACUUCUCCAAACCUAUUGUCCCUGAAUUUCCUGUACAGUCCGAACCCGAACCCAUGCAGUUGGGGGUCACUAGACAGUUGGAAGCAGAAAGACAAUAUAGGAGAAAAGAAGGCCUAUGUCUAUACUGCGGUAGGGAGGGACAUAUGAGAAUCAAUUGUCCCAUACGUCUGGAAAACUACCGCACCUUCAGGUCUUAGGUGUAAUGGAAACGUCCUCUGGAAAGGAUAAAAAUAGGUUUCUCCUUGAUAUUUCUAUUGCCUUUGAAAAGAAGAACUUUUCAUGCAAAGCCCUGAUAGAUUCAGGUGCUGCUGGAAACUUCAUUGACGUUCAAUUUGUUAAAGGUAAUACUAUACCUAUAAAGGAGAGACUAUCACCCCUAGCUGUUGAAACUAUUGAUGGGAGACCACUCUCACAACCAUUGAUAAUGCAUGAAACCAUACCCAUUAAUACUUCCAUUGGUGCCUUACAUAAGAGAUUACAUUUCAGGUUAUUGCAUCCCCUUCCUGUCCGAUCAUAUUAGGCUUUCCAUGACUUAACAAGCAUAACCCUCAUAUUGACUGGGCUAAUGGGGAAAUAUUAGAAUGGGGUAAGGAUUGCUAUGAAAGGUGUAUAUUGAAUGUCGCCAAAAGAGUGGGCACUAUUGAAUUACCCACUAGUACACCUCAAAACCCGGAAAUCCCUAUACAGUACCAAGACAUUAAAGAAGCUUUCAGCAAAAGUAAGUCAAAUAGUCUACCUCCUCACAAACCCGGAAGCAACCUCCGAGUAGGAGGCACCCUCACGGCAGCCGGAACCUAGGCGCCGACUUUGGCGUGCGCGUGGACAUAGCGUGCACGCGAAGCUAGAGUGCCCGUGAACAAGCGAGCACGCGCGAAAACGGCGCACAUGCGCCCCAGGAGGAACAGGACGCCGAGAAGGCAUGUGUAAAGAUAGAAGCAAGUACAAAGAAAUCAUAGGAUGGGGGGGGGGGGAAAACCCACACAUUUGUUUUUGAACAAAUACAGAAUAUAUGCAAAAAGUAUUUGUACAUACAUACAUGUGGGGUGUACUUCAAUAUGUAAAAAUCCAUCCAGAAUAAGGUCUUCUCGCCACUUCCUGCUACCUCUUGGUCACUGCAGGGAAUCAGAAUUGUUUGGCAUUUUUUUCUCUUGCUACCCCUAGGGUCACUGCAAGUAGAACCCCUGGUCACUAAGGGGGUAUCUUCAGGGGGACACCUUUGCACAGGGCCGGAUACUGAAGCUUCCCAAGGAAGAGAGGCUGAACUUCCUUGGGGGCAGAAGGUAAAAACCCUCAGGUAAGCCAUAAAAGAAAAAGUGAUUAUAGUCCUGAAAAUAGACUAAUUUGGUCCUAUAGGGAUAGGACAGGAACAAAAAGACUGAGGGAGGAGGAGGUAGGAGGGGGUACCCUUAUUUUAAUUAGUUCCUGUCUAACUAGGGAUAGGGGAGGAGCUACCCAUUGUUGUGCUGCCAUGGAUAUGGCCAGGAAAUGUCUUUUAACAGGGGGCCAUAGUCCAAAGGCAGCAGGCAAGCAACCAGGCUUCUCCAAUGCAAUGUGGCGAGAUUGGUCUCGUCACAGUGACAAUGCCCCUUUAAGACUGUGUCCCCAGACCUUUAAAAUACUUUGUGAAUGUCCUUUUCUCAUAUGGUUCGGUAAUUGGGGCUUACCAAACUAAUUACCGAACAGGCAGACCACACGCAAGUGGAAGUGUGCAGGCAAUUUACCUCCCAGGCUGGCGGUUAACUACAGGUUAAUUGCCGACCGCUGGGUGGCCGGCGUUCGUACAGUCGAACACGUGGGGGCGGCCAUCUUUAUUUAGUUGAACACGGUCAGCAGUUUGUGCCGUCAAAUUCAUGGAAGUGAAAUCGGCUACAAAACGGAACAAUGCUGACCCUUACCUUCUCUGCAACUUCGACUGAAAUCGAAGUGCGUUCAACGAUUCGAACUCCAUGUUAUACUGGGCUAUUUGCACGAACGGCCCUCGUUCAUGCAUUCGAAUGGGACUUAGUUAUUUUUUCUGGGUAAAAUAGACCAACCGCACAGCCCAAAUCUAUGGAACUGUUUUGGGCAGGAAAGCCAUGCUUGCGGUCGGUCAAAAAGGACUUCCAACUAACGUUUAAACCACUGGAAGUAAAUUGUCUGAAUUUUGAGUAUGUUUGUAUUUGGAGUAUGCUGAUUUAGAAUAUGUAACUUUUAUUAAUAUUGCAUGUAUACUUUUAAAGUUAUAAGAAUUGUAUAAAAACUAUUUUCCUGCCUGUGAUAAUUACAUUAGCCCAUUGUGUACAGUAAUUCUAUCACAGACAGAGGGGAGGAUUUUGCUGGAAUGAAUGGGAGUGUUUGACUGUAUUAUCAUGUGUUUGAUUGGCUGUUCCACACGACCAGGUAGGUGGUAACUUUAUGUAAAAACCUGCAUAAAAGAAAGCCCUUUGGUGCUGAUUAAACAUUACUUCUUGACCCUCUAACUCGCAGCCUCGACUCGUGUUUGUAGGGGAAAGCUAUAAUCACUACAGGGAUUGCUAUGCUCUGCAUACUCCCUUAGCUACUGAGCUCUUGUAAGAGCUCUUGUUCCUGAUCCUGCUUCGCUCUACAAAAGGAAGAGGUUCACCCACUGGAACCUGGAGCCUGGUCAUAGGUCCAUGGUGGAUAGCAGACGGCGAGAUUCCAGCCCAGCAGCGGCGGUUCGCGGAGUCUGCCGUAUUUAUGGUGUCUACAGUGCUGAUGGUCCUUUGGUGAGCGCUAGGAGCAUCCUUUCUAUGGUCCAACUUUCAGUUAGCCUGGAGGCAACCGUAACAACCCUCUUUAUGGAGGUCUGAGCCUUGUCCAGGGAAGUGAACAGAGCCACAUGCUUAUGAAGCUCCUUUAUGAAGGGUUCCCCGAACAGAAGACCCUUAGCCAGGGGGCCCAAUUCCUUUGACCCCAAAUCCGACAACUCGUCCAUAUGAAGAAGGAUUGCCUUCCUGCAUUCCGUGGAGAGUGCCACAUUCGUAUUGCCCAGCAGGCAAAUAGAGUACAGAGCCCAGUCCCGCAUGGAGGCAGAGUCCAGGGUAGCCCCCUCCGAGUAGGCCUCGUCUGCCAGCAUGUCCAGCAGUUUGACAAGUGGUGCCUGGCCGGUGAGGCCAAUAGCAUCGNNNNNNNNNNNNNNNNNNNNNNNNNNNNNNNNNNNNNNNNNNNNNNNNNNNNNNNNNNNNNNNNNNNNNNNNNNNNNNNNNNNNNNNNNNNNNNNNNNNNCUAGGAUUUUACAGAGUGCUUUGUAAUUAGUAGCUGAUCUUAUUUCUACUUUUUUUUUUUUUUUUUAAAUAAGGAUCACUCGAAUGAGUAGUUGUUAUGGUGUAAGUAGUCAAUUUAUUUUAAAACUGUUUGACUUCCUACAUGGGAUCCACUUUGUGUCAUUCUGUUCCUACACUACAUCCAGCAGAGAGCCAGAAGCAGGCCGUGUAGAUUUAGCUAAUUGGUUGAGAGUGAUUUAAAAGCUUCUGAUUCUUUAUCCUUUGUGAAGCUCGUUCACUAAUCCUGGCAGCAUAACCACUACAGUGAGUUUUAGUGUUUAUGGUGCUUGGGCUUUUCAACAAGUAGAUUCAUUGAAGAAAUCUACAGCAAGCGUUGAGCCAGGAGAAUAAGUGGAAUCAAUAAAGACAUAAUACAUCCCAAUUAUGGAUUCUUUCAUCUUCUUCCCUCUGGAAAAUAUAUUGGCGUUUGUAUUGUAAGACCCACAGGUUUGGGGAUAGUUUUGUUCUCUCUGCAGAGAUGUUUUUCAACUAAACCUAUAAGAGAUAAUUUCCUAAGAAUAUAAUUGUAUUAAGUUUUAGUCAUACUGGUUUGUCUGCAGGAGGAUACAUUAGGGUUUAUCAACUGGUAAAUUGCAAUUAGUGGUUUUUAAUAUGCACACGAGUAGGCUUAAUAUAUAAUUACACUUUAUGCAUAUUUGCACAUAUUAUUGUGCUUACAUUUGUAAUUAUGCACAUGAUUGUGGUGAUCAGGGCCGGACUGGGAAAAAAAUUAGGCCCGGACAUUUUUCAAUUAGAGCGGCCCCCCAAGAAGGGGGCGGGGCCAGAGAGGGUGUGUUUUGUCAUCACUAAUGACAAGUACACCCCCUCUGAAAGUGAGCAUGUUGGUUCAAUGCGCAGAGCCCCGCUGAAGAGCUCUAGCAUUAGAAAAAGGCCCUGAAUUUGUUCUGCGCAGCUCAAGCAAAUGUAAUAACAUGCUUGCACUGUGUUUGCUUUUAAAUUGUCUCUGCUGUCUCCACAAGUGGGAUACCAGAGGACAAAAGGGCCAGGAAAGUGUAUGGUGCAUGUGUUUGGCGCAUGCUUGUGGGAUUGCCUGUGUGUAGAGUGUGGCUUGGUAUUGUGCAAAUAGGUCAAUUUUGUGGUGUAAUAUGUGUGGCUAGGGGCUGUAGAGAGUGCGUGUAUAGGGGCAUAGUGUUAUAGGGGAUGUAGCGAGUGUGUGCAUAUGGGCAGUAGUGUGUGUGUAUAGGUGACGUAGUGUGUGUCACUUAUACACACACACUACUGUGUGUAGAGAGGGUGUGUUUAGAGUGUUGUAUGUGUUUGCUUACAAAGAAUGUAGUGUGUGUGUAGGUGGUGCAGUGUGUGUGUAAGAGAUCUAGUGUGUAAAGGACCCAGAGUGUGUAUAGAAGAUUGUGUGUGUGUGUGUGUAGAGGAUUAAGAGUGCAUAUAGGGUAAGGGAUCUAGCGUGUAUCUGGAGCGUAAUGUGUGUAGUGGUGCAGUGUGAGGGGUGCUGUAGAGUGUAUAUAUAAUAUAUUAUAUUUGGACGUAUUGUAUGUGUGAGGUGCGCAGCGUGUUUGUGUAAGAGGAGUGCUGUGUGUGAGGGUGUUUUUAUCUGCCGUCACAUUCUGGGUUUCUAUUUUAUUUGUCUGUUAACUCACUGAGGGUUAUUUUAUAUAAUAUAUAUGUGCUGUAUAUGUGUGGGAGUGAGGGUGCUGUCUGUCUGAGGGUGCUGUGUGUGUCUGGGUGUCAUGUGUGUGUCUGGGGGUGCGCUGUGUGUGUCUGUGGGAUGCUGUGUGUGUCUAAGUGCUGUGUGUGUCUGGGGGUGCUGUGUGUGUGUCUGGGUGCUGUGUGUGUGUCUGGGUGCUGUGUGUGUGUCUGGGUGUGCUGUGUGUGUCUGGGUGUGCUGUGUGUGUCUGGGUGCUGUGCGUGUCUGGGGGUGCUGUGUGUGUCUGGGUGCUGUGUGUGUCUGGGGUGCUGUGUGUGUCUGGGUGCUGUGUGUGUCUGGGUGUGCUGUGUGUCUGGGUGUGCUGUGUGUGUCUGGGGUGCUGUGUGUGUCUGGGUGCUGUGUGUGUCUGGGGGUGCUGUGUGUGUGUGUGUGCGUGUUCAGUGCUGUGUGUGUGUCUGGGGGUGCUGUGUGGGGCACAUUCUGGGUUUCUAAUUUUAUUUGUCUGUUAACUCACUGAGGGUUCUUUUAUAUAAUAUAUAUGUGCUGUAUAUGUGGGAGUGAGGGUGCUGUCUGUCUGAGGGUGUUGUGUGCGUCUGGGGAUGCUGUGUGUGUCUGGGUGUCAUGUGUGUGUCUGUGGGAUGCUGUGUGUGUCUGGGGGUGCUGUGUGUGUGUUUGGGUGCUGUGUGUGUGUCUGGGUGUGCUGGGGGUGCUGUGUGUGUCUGGGGUGCUGUGUAUGUCUGGGGGUGCUGUGUGUAAAAUUGGGUGCUGUGUGUGUCUGGGGUGCUGUGUGUGUCUGGGUGCUGUGUGUGUUGGGGUGUGCUGGGUGUCUGGGGGUGCUGUGUGUUUCUGCGCUGUGUGUGUCUGGGGGUGCUGUGUGCGUCUGGGUGCUGUGUGUGUGUCUGGGUGUGUCUGGGGGUGCUGUGUGUGUGUGUCUGUGGGUGCUGUGUGUGUGUGUCUGGGAGUGCCGGUGUGUGUGUCUGGGGGAGCUUAUGUGUACUGGGGGGCUGUGUGUGUCUGGUUAAGUGCUGUGUGUCUGGGGGGCUGUGUGUGUCUGGGGGGCUCUGUGUGUCUGGGUGGGGCUGUGUGUGUCUGCGGGGCUGUGUGUGUCUGGGGGUGCUGUAAAAUGGGGCUGUGUGUCUGGGUGCUGUGUGUGUCUGGGGUGCUGUGUGUGUCUGGGGGUGCUGUGUGUGUGUCUGGGGGUGCUGUGUGUGUGUCUGGGGUGCUGUGUGUGUGUCUGGGGGCUGUGUGUCUGGGGGGCUGUGUGUGUCUGGGGGGGCUGUGUGUUUCUGGGUGUGCUGUGCGUCUGGGGGGCUGUGUGUGUCUGGGGGUGCUGUGUGUGUCUGGGGGGGCUGUGUGUGUGUCUGGGUGCUGUGUGUGUGUGUCUGGGGGGGCUGUUAGGGAAAUUAUUUUAAAUAUAUAUUUUUUUAUUAAUAAUUUUUUUUAAAAAGUUAUGCUCCUCCCCCUUCUUACCUUUAGCCUGGGAGGGUGGGAGCCGUGUUGCCAUGCUGUCAUGCUUCCCUGGUGGUCUAGUGGUGAGAGUGAACUCUAGCCUUCAGGGCUAGAGUUCACUCUCGCGAGAGCUGAGCGUUGCCGUGGUAACCGCGGCAACGCUCAGAAUCCCGCGAGAGGACCGGGCGGAGCUGCUGGUUAGAGCUCCGCCGGUCCUCUCUCCUGCCUCCCUCCCUCACUCCCCAGCCGGCGGCCGUCUGUGACACUGCCUGUGGGCUGGUGAGGGAGAUCUUUGAUCUCCCCACCGGCCCAUGGAGGCACACAGCAGGGCUGACGCUCGGGUAGCGCUGGCCCUGCCGGCCUCAGCCCCACGGCCAUCGCGGUCCACCGGGCAUUUGCCCGGUAUGCCGAUGGCCAGUCCGGGCCUGGUGGUGAUCACAUUUUGCACUCUUAUGCACAUGAUUAUGGGCUUUUAUCUGUUCUGUGAUUGCAUUAUGCACUUGUAUUAACACGAUUAUGUGUUCACAUUUCACUAUUGUGCUCGCAUUGUACUUAAGUGCAUGGUCGAUGUGAUUAUGUUCUGCACCUUUAUGCACAUGAUUGUGUGUUCCAAUUUUGCACUUUAUUUGCAUAUGAUUCUUUGCACAUUAUUUAUAUUUUCACUUUUUUAUAUUACUCAUUUUUAUUUGCUAAUAUUUUGCACUUUCUGCAUGUGGCUUUGGGCUUACAUUAGGCACUUUUAUGUCACUGAUACACUAUUAAGGAUUGAGUAUUUUUUUGCACUAGAGUGGCCGUUGGUACACUUAAUGUUAGACUGGGGUAUGAGUUGUGUGUUGGAUUUUUGCUGGAUUUUUAUAUGGUGGCAUUAUAUUUUUAGGCUUAAAAUUGGUAUCAAUGUAGAAGGAUUGUAUUCUUAAGUAUUAAGGAAUUUUGGUAUCAAGUAUUAAAUGUAAAGCUUACACUGGAAGUACAUUUUUAAAAAUAGUAUUUUUAAUUGCUGCGGCAUUUCUGUACAUAGGACACAUGUGUUUCAUUGCCAUUGUUUGUACAUUGUGCAAUGACAAUACAGUUGAAUCUGAAUUUAAGAUACAAAUGGACUUUCAUUUGAUACUAUAUAUUUCACCAUAAUGAAUAAAUUAAAAUAUGUAAUCAAACCAAUUUUUCCACACUUUAGUUAAUAAUAAUAAUUUGUGCAAACCUGAAGAAAAUUAGAUUAGUAUUAUUGUUUUCUCUUUGAAAAUAAACUAAUAUACCUAUUUCAUGUCACUGGUUAUAUAUUAGAAGUAUUUUUACAUGUAAACAUUUUCUAAAUUUGGUAUAGUGUAAGCUUAAUGUUAAUGACAACCGACAAAUACAUAAUUAAUUGCCUUAAUGACGGAAGUGUUCCUAGUAAGGGUACACCUCCGUCAUCUUUAAUGUAUAUCGUGAUCCAUGUUACCUCUAUCAGUGGGACCCAACUAUUACUGGACCUUGUACAGUAAAAGCUCCACUGCAGGUGGGCACAGUGCUAUAGUUGAUGAUUCCCUUGCAGGACAGCAUUGGGACUUCCUUAUUUCCAAUAAAAAUCUAACUACAAAUCUGCCUUUGGAUUUAACCCUUUGAGUGUCUGGACAUCUUUAAAUUCUGCACACAGGCACAGGCAGGCACAUACAGAUGCAGAUAGCACACACAGGGACAGACACACACAGGAACUCAGGUGCCCUGCCAUGUUUGACAAAAGUUGUGUCGAUGUGUGAUGUGGGAUUUGAAUGCCAAGGCUAUAAUUGUUGUUUUUGUAACAAAGAACUUUAGUCAAUCACAGCUUUAGUCUGUUUCGGAAGGUUUAUCCGGCAGACAGUUUUUUUUUUUUCUGCAAUUCAGAUUUCUCUUAAGUGUAAUAUUAUCGUUAUGUUUUAUUCUUUUUAGGCCUAUUCUACAUGAAGCUGAAAAUUUUACAAUCUUUGUAAAGAAUAGUGUGAGAUUCCCUGUAUUCGACUUCGAGAGGUGAGUAAUCUAUUAAUAGACAGCUUCUCUUGUAACAUUGCAUUCUGUAUCAUACUUUAUUAUUUGUGAUAUUAUUUGUUUAAGUGUAACCUGUUCAACCUUCCAGGGGAAAUUUGCUGUCCAGUCUGAAUUGUCGUUACCAUCCAGUUACUCAUCCCUUCUGUCCAAUCUUCCGACUUGGAGACAUUGUGAAACUCGCAGGACAAAACUUUACAAACUUAGCAGACAAUG
rnacentral:lncRNA from 1 species